GCAUGAAGUUGGAAUCGCUAGUAAUCGCGGAUCAGCAUGCCGCGGUGAAUACGUUCCCGGGCCUUGUACACACCGCCCGUCACACCAUGAGAGUCGGGAACACCCGAAGUCCGUAGCCUAACCGCAAGGGGGCGCGGCCGAAGGUGGGUUCGAUAAUUGGGGUGAAGUCGUAACAAGGUAAC
rnacentral:rRNA from 1 species